AUGAAGAACGUAGCGAAAUGCGAUAAGUAAUGUGAAUUGCAGAAUUCAGUGAAUCAUCGAGUCUUUGAACGCACAUUGCGCCCCCUGGUAUUCCGGGGGGCAUGCCUGUCCGAGCGUCAUUGCUGCCCUCAAGCACGGCUUGUGUGUUGGGCCCCCGCCCCCCGGCUUCGGGGGGCGGGCCCGAAAGGCAGCGGCGGCACCGCGUCCGGUCCUCGAGCGUAUGGGGCUUCGUCACCCGCUCUGUAGGCCCGGCCGGCGCCCGCCGGCGACCCCAAUCAAUCUUUCCAGGUUGACCUCGGAUCAGGUAGGGAUACCCGCUGAACUUAAGCAUAUCAAUAAGCGGAGGA
rnacentral:misc_RNA from 1 species